CAAUAGCGUAUAUUAAAGUUGUUGCGGUUAAAAAGCUCGUAGUUGGAUUUCUGCUUGGGACGACCGGUCCGCCCUCUGGGUGUGCAUCUGGUUCGGCCCGGGCAUCCUCUUGGGGGACGUUGCUGCACUUGAUUGUGUGGUGCGGUACCCAGGACUUUUACUUUGAGGAAAUUAGAGUGUUUCAAGCAGGCAAUUGCCUUGAAUACAUUAGCAUGGAAUAAUAAGAUAGGACUUUGGUGGUCUAUUUUGUUGGUUUGCACACCAAGGUAAUGAUUAAUAGGGAUAGUUGGGGGUAUUCGUAUUUAAUUGUCAGAGGUGAAAUUCUUGGAUUUAUGAAAGACGAACUACUGCGAAAGCAUUUACCAAAGAUGUUUUCAUUAAUCAAGAAUGAAAGUUAGGGGAUCGAAGACGAUCAGAUACCAU
rnacentral:rRNA from 1 species